AGCUUGUUGGUGAGGUAACGGCCCACCAAGGCGACGACAGGUAGCUGGUCUGAGAGGAUGGUCAGCCACACUGGGACUGAGACACUGCCCAGACUCCUACGGGAGGCUGCAGUCGAGAAUCUUCCGCAAUGGGCGCAAGCCUGACGGAGCGAUGCCGCGUGCGGGAUGAAGGCCUUCGGGUCGUAAACCGCUGUCGCCCGGGAUGAAGUUCUGACAGUACCGGGAGAGGAAGUCACGGCCAACUACGUGCCAGCAGCCGCGGUAAUACGUAGGUGGCAAGCGUUAUUCGGAUUUAUUGGGCGUAAAGGGUCCGUAGGGGGUUUGUCAAGUCCGGUGUGAAAGCCCGCGGCUCAACUGCGGAACGGCACUGGAAACUGGCAGACUAGAGCAUCGGAGAGGAGAGUGGAAUUCCUGGUGUAGCGGUGGAAUGCGUAGAUAUCAGGAGGAACACCAAUGGCGAAGGCAGCUCUCUGGACGAUUGCAGACCCUGAGGGACGAAAGCUAGGGGAGCAAACAGGAUUAGAUACCCUGGUAGUCCUAGCCGUAAACGUUGUACACUAGGUGUGGGGGGAUUUGGCCCCCUCCGCGCCCCAGCUAACGCGAUAAGUGUACCGCCUGGGGAGUACGGCGGCAACGCUAAAACUCAAAGGAAUUGACGGGGGCCCGCACAAGCUGUGGAGCAUGUGGCUUAAUUCGAGGCUACGCGAAGAACCUUACCUGGGUUUGACAUCGGCGGGACCGCCCCAGAAAGGGGGUUUUCCGCAAGGACCGGCCGACAGGUGCUGCAUGGCUGUCGUCAGCUCGUGCCGUGAGGUGUUCGGUUAAGUCCGGCAACGAGCGCAACCCGUGUCGUCUGUUGCCAUCAGGUAAUGCUGGGUACUCUGACGAGACUGCCCGUGUCAAGCGGGAGGAAGGCGCGGAUGACGUCAAGUCCGUAUGGCUUUUACGCCCAGGGCUGCACACGUGCUACAAUGGCCGGCACAAUGGGAUGCGAAACUGCGAAGUGGAGCCAAUCCCCAAAACCGGCCUCAGUUCAGAUUGCAGUCUGCAACUCGACUGCAUGAAGCCGGAAUCGCUAGUAAAGGGGUAUCAGCAACGGCCCCUUGAAUACGUUCCCGGGCCUUGUACACACCGCCCGUCACAUCAUGGGAGCUGGAUGCACCCGAAGUCGCUGACCCAACCCGCAAGGGAGGGAGGCGCCGAAGGUGUGGCCAGUGACUGGGAUGAAGUCGUAACAAGGUAGCCGUAGGGGAACCUGCGGCUG
rnacentral:rRNA from 1 species